rnacentral:rRNA from 1 species
UGAUUCUUAGUGGCGAACGGGUGAGUAACGCGUAGACAACCUGCCUUCUAGAUGGGGACAACACUGCGAAAGUGGUGCUAAUACCGAAUGUUGCAUUAAGCCUGCAUGGGCUUGAUGCUAAAGGUGGCCUCUAUUUAUAAGCUAUCACUAGAAGAUGGGUCUGCGUCUGAUUAGCUAGUUGGUGAGGUAAUGGCUCACCAAGGCGAUGAUCAGUAGCCGGUCUGAGAGGAUGAACGGCCACACUGGGACUGAGACACGGCCCAGACUCCUACGGGAGGCAGCAGUGGGGAAUCUUCCGCAAUGGACGAAAGUCUGACGGAGCAACGCCGCGUGAGUGAAGAAGGUUUUCGGAUCGUAAAGCUCUGUCUUUGAGGACGAAUGUGUCUAAUGUGAAUAAUGUUAGAUAAUGACGGUACUCGAGGAGGAAGCCACGGCUAACUACGUGCCAGCAGCCGCGGUAAUACGUA